rnacentral:rRNA from 1 species
GCUGACGACCGGCGCACGGGUGCGUAACGCGUAUACAAUCUACCUUAUACAGGAGGAUAGCCCUAAGAAAUUGGGAUUAAUACUCCAUAGUAAUAUUUUACUGCAUGGUAAAAUGUUUAAAGUUUCGACGGUAUAAGAUGAGUAUGCGUCCUAUUAGCUAGAUGGUAAGGUAACGGCUUACCAUGGCCACGAUAGGUAGGGGGCCUGAGAGGGUUAUCCCCCACACUGGUACUGAGACACGGACCAGACUCCUACGGGAGGCAGCAGUGAGGAAUAUUGGUCAAUGGAGGCAACUCUGAACCAGCCAUGCCGCGUGAAGGAAGAAUGUCCUAUGGAUUGUAAACUUCUUUUAUUUGGGAAGAAACCUUUCUACGAGUAGAAAGCUGACGGUACCAAACGAAUAAGGACCGGCUAACUCCGUGCCAGCAGCCGCGGUAAUACGGAGGGUCCAAGCGUUAUCCGGAAUCAUUGGGUUUAAAGGGUUCGCAGGCUGUUUAUUAAGUCAGUGGUGAAAUCUCAUGGCUCAACCAUGAAACUGCCAUUGAUACUGAUAGACUUGAAUACAGUUGGAGUAGGCGGAAUGUGUAGUGUAGCGGUGAAAUGCUUAGAUAUUACACAGAACACCGAUAGCGAAGGCAGCUUACUAAACUGUUAUUGACGCUCAUGAACGAAAGCGUGGGGAGCGAACAGGAUUAGAUACCCUGGUAGUCCACGCCGUAAACUAUGAUUACUCGAUAUUGGCGAUAUACGGUCAGUGUCUAAGCGAAAGUGAUAAGUAAUCCACCUGGGGAGUACGGUCGCAAGAUUGAAACUCAAAGGAAUUGACGGGGCCCGCACAAGCGGUGGAGCAUGUG